AGCUUAGAGUGUGCCCUGCCCAUGUCAGUUUGGGGGUGGAGGAUUGGGGGGUCGCAGUAAUGAGAAGGCGAGCUUCCUUUUCCCCUGCUUUUUAUUCCUGCCCCUGCAUCCCUCUUCCAUGAGAGAGGAAACCACGAAACUCACAGCACAUCACAGACCACAUGGCGACCUCAGGGAGCAUCUGACCCCAUCAAGAAAGCUUCAAAAUGAAGGCCUUGAGCACCAACUGGUUCCUCCCACAUAAGACACCUCAAGCUUUCUGCAGUUCUACAGUUCCAUCCAGGGACACUGAAAUGGGUGGCAAUGCUAGACAAAAAAUUCAGGUCCAGUCUUCAACAUCCUCAGAACCUCAAAGAGUCAAGUAAGCAGACAGAUGAAACUCAGAAGUCAAUUUGGGUGAGAAAUUCUACAACUCUGAUUACAAAUGCAGAGUUGGAUUCUAAAAGAAAAACCGCCAAGCAGGACAGGUUUAACAAAUGCAAAUGUUAGUAGGUCCAAACAUCCCCAACUCAGAAAAACAGCAAACCUGUACAAGAAGAAAAAGAAGAAGAAAUCAGUCCAACCUUUCAACAGUCACCUAGAUGUAAAGACCUCCAUUUGUCAGUUACAGAUGCUAGAACCAGCUAGAUGUUUCCACAAACAAGGAGAAGCCUGUUCACUUCCUGCUAGAAACUCACCCACUUGGCAAAGACUCACACAGCUGGAAGGACGGACGGUGGCAUGCCCAAAGAACAGCCACCGUCAACAGAACAAAACCCAAAGCCGGUGACGACGCAAUGCACCUCUGACGGGAAAGGACAUCAGCAAGGCUGUGGUGGGAACCACUGAAGUGGUCCUCCUGAGACCCCAGGAGGAAGCUACCAUGUGAAGCAGUUAUGUGAUGACACCUCCCAUCUUCACUCAUAAGAGCCAGACAGAGGAAGCCUAGGUGUGCGUCAAUGCAUGAAUGAGGAAGGCGCCAAGGCUAACAGUGAAGCGGUAAUUUGCUACCAAGCAUAGUUACGUCCUUUGUAGGAAAACAAAACUAGAGAUCCUAUUAAGUGAAAUAAACCAUAAACCACACUCAAAAAAAAAAAAAAAAAAAAAAAAAAGGUUCCCUAUGAAGACUUUAGUUCAGUUUUUGUUUGUUGUUGUUGUUGCUGUUGUUUUGUUUUUUUUUUUUUCCCCAAGAGAGGGUGUAAAGGUACAACUGGAAGGAAUUAAGGAACCAGAGAUAAGGGUCAAGGAAUCUACUAGGAAUAGCAGUAGAUGAAACCAAAGAACAUUAUAUGCAUAAAAACGUCACAAGUAUGGGAGUCAUUGUGGACUGUCAGCUUGAGAGAACUGAGAAUCACCGGCCUCCGGGCAUGCCUGUGAGAUAUUGUGUUAAUCAUGUUCAUGGGGUAAGAAGACUAGCCCGCUAUAGAUGGCACCAUCCCUAGACUGUAUCCUCCUGGCUGUACAGAAUGGAGAAAGCCAGCUGAGCACUAGGCAAGAAUCUGCUGCUCUCUGUGGCUAAGGUUUCUUCAAAAAUAAUAAAGAUAUUGAUUACAUCAGACGUAGAACUCAAAUGUUGAUGUCAAUAUUAAGUAAAGGAAGCGGGACACAUAUACCAUAACCACACUACCCCCUGGUACUCUCUGUCCCCGUGG